CACCCAUCUUGAGUAAUCUUAGAAGAACUCACAAUGGUACCAGCAGAACCCGACUGACGUGACUGAGGUAUCACCAACUGGGUCAAUAAAUGAAUAGAACGGCGGAACUUAGCAUUAGUAAUAUAUCCUGGAGGUUACUAAGUGGGAGUGUCACUAGUGAAAGAAGGAUCAGUGGGAACGGGUGAAACAUCAUAAGGGCAAUAAAAAGUAAGGACCCU
rnacentral:lncRNA from 1 species